rnacentral:rRNA from 1 species
UGAUAUGACUGAGUGGCGGACGGGUGAGUAACGCGUGAGCAACCUGCCCUUCGGAGGGGGACAACAGUUGGAAACGACUGCUAAUACCGCAUGGCACAUAGAUGUCGCAUGGCAUUUAUGUCAAAGAUUUAUCGCUGAAAGAUGGCCUCGCGUCUGAUUAGCUAGUUGGUGAGGUAACGGCCCACCAAGGCGACGAUCAGUAGCCGGACUGAGAGGUUGACCGGCCACAUUGGGACUGAGAUACGGCCCAGACUCC